AUAUCCAGAUAGCCAUGCACGUCUAAGUACAAACUAAAUGAUGGUGAAACUGCAAAUAGGCUCAUUACAACGGUUAUGAUGUACCCGGGAGUUCCGAUGGAUAUUUCCAGUAACACUAGAACUAAUACAUGUCCCUGCGUUUAUUAGUUUCGCACAGUCCGUCGCUGAGUCAUGGUAAACAGUUGAUCGACUCGACGUCCCGGAACAGUUUCCGCCCCAUCAGCUUCGAUGGUUGGGUAUUGGCCUACCAUUGCAACAACGGGUAACGAGGAAUUAGGGUUUGAUUUCGGAGAGGGAGCCUGAGAAACGGCUACCACAUCUACGGAUGGCAGCAGGCGCGCAAAUUACCCAAUGCAGACACUGUGAGGUAGUGACGAGAAAUAAUAAAGCGGGACUUCUGUUUCGCUAUUAUAAUGAGGAAUAACCAAAGGUCAUUCCGAUUAGCAACUGAUGGGAAAGUCUGGUGCCAGCAGCCGCGGUAAUACCAGCGUCAGUAGCAU
rnacentral:rRNA from 1 species